rnacentral:rRNA from 1 species
UACCCGCUGACGAGCGGCGGACGGGUGAGUAAUGCAUAGGAAUCUGCCCGAUAGUGGGGGAUAACCUGGGGAAACCCAGGCUAAUACCGCAUACGUCCUACGGGAGAAAGGGGGCUCCGGCUCCCGCUAUUGGAUGAGCCUAUGUCGGAUUAGCUAGUUGGUAAGGUAAUGGCUUACCAAGGCAACGAUCCGUAGCUGGUCUGAGAGGAUGAUCAGCCACAUCGGGACUGAGACACGGCCCGAACUCCUACGGGAGGCAGCAGUGGGGAAUAUUGGACAAUGGGGGCAACCCUGAUCCAGCCAUGCCGCGUGUGUGAAGAAGGCCCUCGGGUUGUAAAGCACUUUCAGCGAGGAAGAACGCCUAUCGGUUAAUACCCGGUAGGAAAGACAUCACUCGCAGAAGAAGCACCGGCUAACUCCGUGCCAGCAGCCGCGGUAAUACGGAGGGUGCAAGCGUUAAUCGGAAUUACUGGGCGUAAAGCGCGCGUAGGUGGCUUGAUAAGCCGGUUGUGAAAGCCCCGGGCUCAACCUGGGAACGGCAUCCGGAACUGUCAGGCUAGAGUGCAGGAGAGGAAGGUAGAAUUCCCGGUGUAGCGGUG